CCUACGGGAGGCAGCAGUGGGGAAUAUUGGGCAAUGGAGGAAACUCUGACCCAGCGACGCCGCGUGAGGGAUGAAGGCCUUCGGGUUGUAAACCUCUUUCAGUAGGGAAGAAGCGAAAGUGACGGUACCUACAGAAGAAGCACCGGCUAACUAUGUGCCAGCAGCCGCGGUAAUACAUAGGGUGCAAGCGUUGUCCGGAAUUAUUGGGCGUAAAGAGCUCGUAGGUGGUUCGAUACGUCGGAUGUGAAAAUCAGGGGCUCAACCCCUGACCUGCAUCCGAUACGGUCGAGCUAGAGUUUGGUAGGGGAGACUGGAAUUCCUGGUGUAGCGGUGGAAUGCGCAGAUAUCAGGAGGAACACCGAUGGCGAAGGCAGGUCUCUGGGCCAAUACUGACACUGAGGAGCGAAAGCGUGGGGAGCGAACAGGAUUAGAUACCCUGGUAGUCCACGCCGUAAACGGUGGGCGCUAGUUGUGCGAACCUUCCACGGUUUGUGCGACGCAGCUAACGCAUUAAGCGCCCCGCCUGGGGAGUACGAUCGCAAGAUUAAAACUCAAAGGAAUUGACGGCNGAGAGNGCGAGACGACACGAGGGAGAG
rnacentral:rRNA from 1 species